rnacentral:misc_RNA from 1 species
UCCCCGUUACCGGGGCAGUCUGACUAGAAAAAUCCAACUAAUCAUAAGGGUUGCGCUCGUUGAAGGACUUAACCUAACAUCUCACGACACGAGCUGACGACGGCCAUGCAACACCUGUCACCGAGUUCCCCUCGCAAUACACGAGCUAUCUGCAUAUGAUUCCAUAUACACUCAUGUACUCUGAGGGGCACUCAAACCUUUCGGUUUGAUUCUCGGGAUGUCAAGUCUGGGUAAGGUUCUUCGCUUAACAUCGAAUUAAACAACACGCUCCACCGCUUGUGCGGGUCCCCGUCUAUUCCUUUGAGUUUUAAUCUUGCGACCGUACUCCCCAGGCGGGAUGCUUAACGCGUUAGCUUCGCUACUGAAGCGGGUCGAUACGCCCAACAGCUAGCAUCCAUAG